GGGCGGGGCCAACAUGGCGCCGAGCGCCGGGUGAGCGGCGCUUUGGCGGUGGUGAGAGGCUCUUCCUGCGCUGGGCGCUCGACUGGCGGGGGCGGGUCUGAGUGGUACCCGGGACUAGACCCUUUGAAGGGCCCGUGUGGGGACCCGGAGGAGGACGGUUGGUUGUGUGUCCGUGCGCGUGGGGACUCUGUGUGUUUGCAUUGGAGGGAUGUUGGGGGGAUGAGGUGGGCUCUCUAUGCCUUCUUUCUCGCUGUACCCAUUGCCUGGGGACCUUAGACCUGCUUCCCUGCUGGGGAAACUGCUACACGGAUCUAGGUCAAGUUAUUCUUCUGGGAAGCCUUCCUGCCGACUCCACUGACCUGAGAUUUCCUGAGGCCGUGGCGUGUUAUUUGAGCCUGUACUGGCAGAGGGUACCGCGAGGUAUUGAAGGAGUAGUAGGAGUUCGCCAGGGAACUGGGACAUGACCGCCUCCUGUAUACCCGGCUCCAGGCACAGAGGUCUCCAUCUCUCCGCCCUGGGGCAUCUUCCUUCAGGGGAGGGGAGGAGGGGCUCCAGAAUGGCUGAGGAGAAGAAGCUGAAGCUGAGCAACACCGUGCUGCCCUCGGAGUCCAUGAAGGUGGUGGCCGAGUCCAUGGGCAUCGCUCAGAUUCAGGAGGAGACCUGCCAGCUGCUGACAGAUGAGGUCAGCUACCGCAUCAAGGAGAUUGCACAGGAUGCCUUGAAGUUCAUGCACAUGGGGAAGCGGCAGAAGCUCACCACCAGUGACAUUGACUACGCACUGAAACUAAAGAACGUCGAGCCACUGUAUGGCUUCCACGCUCAGGAGUUCAUUCCUUUCCGUUUUGCCUCUGGUGGCGGCCGGGAGCUUUACUUCUACGAGGAGAAGGAGGUUGAUCUGAGCGACAUCAUCAAUACCCCUCUGCCCCGAGUGCCCUUGGAUGUCUGCCUCAAAGCUCACUGGCUGAGCAUUGAAGGCUGCCAGCCAGCUAUUCCAGAGAACCCACCCCCAGCUCCCAAAGAGCAGCAGAAGGCUGAGGCCACAGAACCCCUGAAGUCAGCCAAGCCAGGCCAGGAGGAAGACGGCCCCUUGAAAGGCAAAGGUCAGGGGGCCACUCCAGCUGACGGCAAAGGGAAAGAGAAGAAGGCACCACCCCUGCUGGAGGGGGCGCCUCUGCGACUGAAGCCCCGAAGCAUCCACGAGUUGUCUGUGGAGCAGCAGCUGUACUACAAGGAGAUCACAGAAGCCUGUGUGGGCUCAUGUGAGGCCAAGAGAGCGGAGGCUCUGCAGAGCAUUGCCACGGAUCCAGGGCUCUACCAGAUGCUGCCGCGCUUCAGCACCUUCAUCUCAGAGGGGGUGCGCGUGAACGUGGUGCAGAACAACCUGGCCCUGCUCAUCUACCUGAUGCGCAUGGUGAAGGCGCUGAUGGACAACCCUACUCUGUAUCUAGAGAAAUACGUGCAUGAGUUGAUCCCGGCUGUGAUGACCUGCAUCGUGAGCAGACAGCUGUGCCUGCGGCCAGAUGUGGACAAUCACUGGGCGCUCCGGGACUUUGCCGCCCGCCUGGUGGCCCAGAUCUGCAAGCAUUUCAGCACAACCACUAAUAACAUCCAGUCCCGGAUCACCAAGACCUUCACCAAGAGCUGGGUGGAUGAGAAGACCCCGUGGACAACGCGCUACGGCUCCAUCGCAGGCCUGGCAGAGCUGGGACAUGAUGUGAUUAAGACUCUGAUUCUGCCACGGCUACAGCAGGAGGGGGAGCGGAUCCGCGGGGUCCUGGAUGGCCCUGUGCUGAGCAACAUCGACCGCAUAGGGGCUGACCACGUGCAGAGCCUCCUCCUGAAACACUGUGCCCCUGUUCUGGCAAAGCUGCGCCCACCGCCUGACAAUCAGGAUGCCUAUCGGGCAGAAUUUGGGUCCCUCGGGCCCCUCCUCUGCUCCCACGUUGUCAAGGCCCGGGCCCAGGCUGCUCUGCAGGCUCAGCAGGUCAACAGGACCACUCUAACCAUCACUCAGCCCCGGCCCACGCUGACCCUCUCACAGGCCCCCCAGCCUGGCCCUCGGACCCCUGGCUUGCUGAAGGUCCCUGGCUCCAUUGCGCUGCCUGUCCAGACACUGGUGUCUGCUCGAGCUGCUGCCCCGCCUCAGCCUUCCCCUCCCCCAACCAAGUUCAUUGUCAUGUCAUCAUCCUCCAGCGCCUCAUCCACCCAACAGGUCCUGUCCCUCAGCACCUCGGCCCCUGGCUCAGGCUCCACCACUACCUCUCCCGUCACCACCACCGUCCCCAGCGUGCAGCCCAUCGUCAAGCUGGUCUCCACCGCCACAAGCGCGCCCCCCAGCACUGCCCCCUCUGGUCCUGGGAGUGUCCAGAAGUACAUCGUGGUCUCUCUUCCCCCCACAGGGGAGGGCAAAGGAGGCCCCACCUCCCAUCCUUCUCCAGCCCCUCCCCCGACCUCAGCCCCCUCCCCGCUUGGGGUCAGCGCCCUAUGUGGGGGGAAAGCGGAAGCUGGGGAGAGCCCCCCUCCCGCUCCAGGGACUCCGAAGGCUAACGGCUCACAGCCCCCCGGAUGUGGCUCCCCUCCGCCUGCGCCUUGAUGCUGUCACACGUCUGCUGACCUUCUUCUCUCCCCUGUACUCACUCUCUCUCGCUCUCUCUCUUUCUCUCCCUCUUUCUCUCCCUCUCUCUCUCUCACACACACACACACACACACGCACGCAUGCACGCACGCACGCGCGCUGGGUGGAAGGAAAUAGUAGUCAGCUUCCCCCACGUGACUUUCUCUUUCAGUAUUGUACAGUCAGUUCCUCAGAAUAAAAGUUUGAUUUUUAAAUUGUGAUCCACCUCAGUCCUUCCUGGGUCAGAUCCCACGGACGGGCGGUUGAACCCGUGGAGCCCCCUGCUCUCUAGGACUCAGGACCCUUCCAGCCAGAGCCACAGCCACAGGCCAGGAUGCUGGGAGAGGAAAGGUUGUCCUUCUCCUGAUGCACAGAUCACUCCUUUGCCACCCGUGUCCUCGUUUGGGAGCCUCAGAUCCGAAUGACGUAGGCGUCGCUGUGGCUUAGGUGUCGCACCCACUUGUGGGGAUUGGCGUUGCCGCAUGGUCUGAACGCCAGCCUGAGGAAGCGAACCUGGAGGCCAGAGCAUGUGUGCCGGGGAAGUUCAAACGAGAGACUGGCGGGGCCCAGCCCCAGAGGAGGAGCCGAGGUGGAGGGGCCUUGGCCGGGAGGCCCGGGGAGGCCCGGGACGUCCAUCUGUGAGGGGCAGAGGCAGGAGGAGGGUGCUGAAGGCCUCAACAGGAAGGUGGGCAGGGGAGCCGAGGGGCCAGGAAGCUGACCACACGGACCGACCGCAUUAGGAGGCUAUGGGUCAGGGCUGAAAGUGGAGGUGGGAGGAGAGGGCCUUCGAGACUCAGCGGCUGAUACCUGGAAAAGGCCUGAGAGCUGAGAGCCUCCCUGCACCCGAGGAAGGUCCCAGCGAAGGGCUCCCUCCCCCAGCUCUGCCUUCUGCUCUGGGCUGCUCAGCUCCUGAGACAGGCUGGAGUUGGGAGAGGAAAGGUGCUGGGUUAGCCCCUGCCAUCCCACAGCUCCCACUCUCCUCCCCCAGUGCCGUCCUGUUGUCCGGAGAAGCUGGUAAACCCACCCGCGGGCCCACGGUGCACACACGCUCACCUGACCACCCCCCGUGGCAGGGGAAGGUGCAGCCUGACGUUGAGAGCCUGGCUGCAAGGAAAAAAGGACCAGAGUCAGCCCCAGGAAGGUCGUGACGUGUCCCAUCUUCAUUACUGUCACGACUGCAGUUCUGCACAAGUGCCACCCCACCCCCUUCCCAAACUCUAGUGCCUCUAAGCUGGAUUCUGAGGCUGGUGGCCGCACCUGAAGGUGGAAACAGCAGGUGGAAUAUGCUAGGCCAGCCCGAUCCUGACCUCACCGUGAGGUGGCUGCAGGCGGAGGAUUCGAUGAGAUUCAAACUCAUCCAGAUGCACCGAGCUGUGAAAUGAGACCUCAUCCACCCGAAUUCCUGGCCCAUAACCUGGAAAGAGAGAAAGACCCCUCUCCUAACCCAUAUUUUGGGAGGGGGUGGGGAUCUGUCUCUAACUUCCCUCCAUGAAAACUUUGACAGUGACCUCGACCUAGGAGAGAAAGACCCACUUUCUCACCUCUCAGUUCUGACUUCCCCACACAAAACUCUUCCGUCAAGCCGAUGCGCAUCUCUGUCAGAGGAAGGAACAGAAGAAGCAGCUGCCAAAUACCCCAUACAUGCCACCAAGGAGCCUGUCCCAAACCCCACCCUGGUCCAGCCUGCAGGCUGCUCACCAGAGCCGCUGGGCAGAAAGCUCUUGAGUCGUAUCUCUCCCUGCACGUCCACCUUCAGCAGCGAGCCCUGAGAGUGACAGGAGGUCAAUGCCCAGACGUGACCUCCCCGACACACUUCCCAAAGGCCGCCUGUCCUCAGCCGCAGGGCUGGGGGCCCGAACUUACGUUAGAGGCUAUCAGGACGGACAAUCUCUCGACCACAUCCAGAAACACUUCAUUCUUUUGGCUCUAAGGAAAGAGAGAUUUGGGGUUUGAUCACCCUGUGUUCUAAUGCGGACAGGCAGAAAGGACAGGACAGUGGAGGCUGGAGCCCUGGGUUGGGGACGCGGGUAAGGAAAGGGAUCAUCCACGUCUAGAGAAGGUGGAAAGAUAUGCUGGGAUCUUGGACUCUGGGGGCUGAGAGAAAAAUCAGAGGAUCUGAACCCAUCAAUCCCUCCCUCACCUGGUCAGAGCGGCUGGACAGCACCGGGCGGCUGGCUGCACUGCUGGGGGCCACUUUGCUCUGUUGUGUCUCAGCCCCAAACUGGAAAUCAUCCAAAGCAAUCAAUCCUCACGUAUGACACUUCCCACUAACCCUCCUCAAUCCUGGCCUCAUCUGUCCCUGGACUGACCAAGCCAACGCUGCUGAGGUCAAAGAGGCUGAAGGGUUUGCUGACCACAGCCUCCGUCUGGAUGAAGUUCCUCAGCAUCUCCGUGGAUGUGGUCUGUACAUAACCAUAGUCCUAUAGAUAAAGGAAGGGCAGUCUUUGGGUGGUCGGGGGGGAAGGGGUGAAAAUGAAUGGACUCAGCCUCCCAACCAUGGGAUGCAUCUUCAGGGAACGGGGGACAGGGAGGGACAUCCUUGGACCUCACCAGCACUUCAUCCAGAAGUUCGUAGACCAGAGCCACGUUGCGGGAGAUGGUCGCCUCACCCAGAGAGCCACAGUAAUCACCCAGGAGCGUGGCUAGCCUGCAGAACAGGACGGAGUGUGCAUACCCUCCUCCUCUCUGACCCCCACGCCCGUGUGCCCAGCCCCGCCCUCCUCACCGGGAGAGCAGCUCUAGGAGGCUGAAGGGAGAAAUGUUUUCUGAAGUCGUGGCCACCAAAUAGAGGCCGCUGUGUCUGAUGUGAAUAAAAUGACGGUCAUCGUGGUGCUGAGGCAGAGGCAGGGGAAAAAAGCAUUAGCAAGAAAGAGUUGUGGUGAUUCCUGGCCCAUGAGACCUGGGCUGGUAUCCUGAUUCCCCUACUUACUAGCAGCGUGACUUGUGCCACAUACGAAACCUCCCCAGGGCCCAGCUUCCUAAUGUGUAAAUGGAGUUAAUAAUAGUACCUACUCCAGAGUGGCUGAGGAUUGAGACGUGCGGGGAGCUGUGCCUGGUGCAUUGUGAGCGCUCAAUAAACUUCUAUUAAUAUUA